rnacentral:rRNA from 1 species
UGGUAAUGCCGGAUGCUCCAUCACACCGCAUGGUGUGUUGGGAAAGCCUUUGCGGCAUGGGAUGGGGUCGCGUCCUAUCAGCUUGAUGGCGGGGUAACGGCCCACCAUGGCUUCGACGGGUAGCCGGCCUGAGAGGGCGACCGGCCACAUUGGGACUGAGAUACGGCCCAGACUCCUACGGGAGGCAGCAGUGGGGAAUAUUGCACAAUGGGCGCAAGCCUGAUGCAGCGACGCCGCGUGAGGGAUGGAGGCCUUCGGGUUGUAAACCUCUUUUGUUAGGGAGCAAGGCACUUUGUGUUGAGUGUACCUUUCGAAUAAGCACCGGCUAACUACGUGCCAGCAGCCGCGGUAAUACGUAGGGUGCAAGCGUUAUCCGGAAUUAUUGGGCGUAAAGGGCUCGUAGGCGGUUCGUCGCGUCCGGUGUGAAAGUCCAUCGCUUAACGGUGGAUCCGCGCCGGGUACGGGCGGGCUUGAGUGCGGUAGGGGAGACUGGAAUUCCCGGUGUAACGGUGGAAUGUGUAGAUAUC